UACGGGGGGAGCAAGCGUUGUCCGGAAUUAUUGGGCGUAAAGAGCGUGUAGGCGGCCUGACAAGUCUGCUGUGAAAACUCGAGGCUCAACCUCGAGAUGUCGGCGGAAACUGUCUGGCUAGAGUCCGGAAGAGGAGAGUGGAAUUCCUGGUGUAGCGGUGAAAUGCGCAGAUAUCAGGAAGAACACCGAUGGCGAAGGCAGCUCGCUGGGACGGUACUGACGCUGAGGCGCGAAAGCGUGGGGAGCAAACAGG
rnacentral:rRNA from 1 species